CCGCGAAAGGACAUAAACAAUGAUAAACACUACCAUAACCAAGAAAGUUCAAGAAAACGAGCCCAUCUUAAAAGCGAUUUCAACUACAAAUGGGAGAUUACAAUGCACAGGGCAAACACAAAGACUGACUUGCAAAAGAAAAGAAAGCCUACCUCUUGUUUUCCCUGUCUCAACAUUCUACAAAAGCUUAGAAAGACGAAAGUGAAAACAAAGCAGUCACUUGAUAUUACAACCCCGACUAUUAUCAUAACCAAAGCGUCUCCGGAUUCUACAGAGUGAAAUAAAUGUGGUGUGACGAUACGUUUUUCCUGGCAAACCACUGGGACGAUAAGUUUUCUCCUUGAGACUGUAAAUUUCUGAAUGAACGGACACUUUGACUGACAACUGGGGGAAUCUAACUCUGGAGAGCUCUACCUUGCCUCGGG